GUGAAGUUACAUGUUUGAAAACAAUGCACAAGUUCACAAAUGAUUAUUCUAAUACAAGUUGAUGUAAGUAUCUACUUUGAAAACUUUAUAAAUUUGAGCGCAUCGAAGCAAAUAGCUAAAGCUAUCUGCUAGCAAGGAUUAGCAUAUCCAUAACUAAGAAGAAUAGAGAUCGAUGGGCGUGUCUUCUCUUUACCGUUUUCUGAUGGCUCUUCUAGUUAUCGUUUCCUCUUUUUUCUUGCAGUGCCCCAACGUUAAUGCAGGCAUGACGAUGAGGAAACUGGCUGGAUCUUUGCCAAGAACACCACCUCCACCAAAAGGGUCUCUGCGUAAAUCACCAAUUUUCAAACCACCUCCAGCACGACCACCUCCACCACCGAAGUAUAGCUAACAUUUUUUGGGAAUGAUCAACACAAUUAAUAAAGGAUCUAUGUUUUCUCACAUGAUCACGUCUCUAUUAUUCUUUCCUUACAUGCAGAGAGAGUAAAUUGCAGAAGCUGGUCUUCAAUUUUACAGGGAAACUUAUGUAACUUCUUCAUUGUAAUAUUCAACACCGUAAUCAUUCUUCUCUAAAUUCUCAUGAGUGGGCCAAUACACUUUGUAAAACAAUAAUAAAAAAGAAAAAUUAAAAUGAUAUUUUUAUAAAAAUAAUUUAAAUUUAAAUAUAAUGGAUUCAAAAUUUAAAAUCUAUUAGAUUUAAGUGAAAAAUAAAAACACUCAAAUUUUUAAAAUUUAAAUAUAUUUAGUUUAGGUCCAGUGGAUUUAAAAGUAUUGUAUCAAUGAGAAUAAGUUUUUAGAAUUUCUACCUGCUCCUCAUAAAUUUAAUACCCUCAAUUGUAUGUGCCUCGGUCACUACGAGGGCUGUGGAAUAUAUAUAGUCAACGCUAUAAUUGUAACUGAUCCUACUCUGCCAGCUGGUUUCCUCUGUGGAAUAUUUUGAAAUUGUGCGCGAUUAAAUCUUGGGAGAAUCACACCUAAUGAAGAAACAAAUUAGAUCCCUUAAAAAUUGUAAUUAGAAUGAAGGACUGAAACAAGAAAUUAAUAAAACGGAUUUGAAAUGACCCAUUACAGCUCUUUAAUUAAUCUCGAUACCGCUGGAAUUUAAUUUUUCUCCUGGGACAACCUACGUACCGAAAUCCAUGUUAGUAAAUAAUAGUAUUGGGUAUUAAAUGACUUUUUUAAAAAACAAAAAAGUUAAAAAAAAAAAGCACUCUAUUCUUCAUAAAUACUUAUUAACGUUAUUGUGAUUAAGUACUUUUUAGUAGUGAUAUCUUCUCACAAUUAAUUCAAAGAUCCCUCUUUAGCUUUUUUAUUUUUUAAAAUUAUUAAAAAAUAUUAUUUGUGAGGUUCAAAUAUUGGGGCGGUCUAAUUUUCAUUUGAAUCUUGUGUUUUACGUGUAACAACGACGUUGGCUCUCUCAAUUGUUAUUGGCCAAAUUAUGUACACUGAAUAAAUUAGUGUGAUAAUGAGUAUAUAAAUCGGAGGUGUAUGAUGAUUGGCAAGGACGGGAAACCAAAUAGGAAGAAAGAGAAGAAUAUUAUUCCUCUCCAUUCUUAUCGCUGUCCUGUCCACUGAAGCUUCUUCAGUCAAGCUCACCUACUGUACCCCGCGGUUCCCCUACCACGGCUCUGGAUCAUGGUCACUAGUCAUUUGUAGUGGAAGGACUCUUAAACUUAAGUCUUGACAUUUUUAAUUAACAUGUAAUGUGAAUUCUACCACGUAUUUGAGUUCUGAGAUAUAUAUAUAUAUAUAUAUAUUCUCAGGCACUGGUACAUAGAAAUUUUUGAGUUUAGAGAUGUUAUUUUUAUGCAUUCUCGUUUUUCAUAAAUUAAUUAAGGAUUGUAAGGAAAGAACACCAGUUUGCGGUUGUUGAAUGUCAAAU